rnacentral:sRNA from 1 species
GCUGGGCAUGGUGGCAUGUGCCUGUAGUCCCAACUAACUGGGAGGCUGAGGCAGGAGGAUUACUUGAGCCCAGGAGUUCAAGGCUGCAGUAAGCCAUGAUCGAGCCACUGCACUCCAGCCUGGGUGACAGAGUAAGAUCCUGUCUCAA